GUUAGGAUGGCCGAGUGGUCCAAGGCGCUGCGUUCAGGUCGCAGUCCGGUCUUCCGGGCGUGGGUUCGAAUCCCACUCCUGACA
rnacentral:tRNA from 1 species